UACGAAGGGGGCUAGCGUUGCUCGGAAUCACUGGGCGUAAAGCGCACGUAGGCGGCUUCUUAAGUCAGGGGUGAAAUCCUGGAGCUCAACUCCAGAACUGCCUUUGAUACUGAGGAGCUUGAGUCCGGGAGAGGUGAGUGGAACUGCGAGUGUAGAGGUGAAAUUCGUAGAUAUUCGGAAGAACACCAGUGGCGAAGGCGACUCACUGGACAUGUAUUGACGCUGAGGUACGAAAGCGUGGGGAGCAAACAGG
rnacentral:rRNA from 1 species